UGGGGAAUAUUGCACAAUGGAGGGAACUCUGAUGCAGCGACGCCGCGUGAACGAAGAAGGCUUUCGAGUCGUAAAGUUCUUUUAUAUGGGAAGAUAAUGACGGUACCAUAAGAAAAAGCCCCGGCUAACUACGUGCCAGCAGCCGCGGUAAUACGUAGGGGGCUAGCGUUGUCCGGAAUCACUGGGCGUAAAGGGUUCGCAGGCGGAAAUGCAAGUCAGGUGUAAAAGGCAGUAGCUUAACUACUGUAAGCAUUUGAAACUGCAUAUCUUGAGAAGAGUAGAGGUAAGUGGAAUUUUUAGUGUAGCGGUGAAAUGCGUAGAUAUUAAAAAGAAUACCGGUGGCGAAGGCGACUUACAGGGCUCAUUCUGACGCUGAGGAACGAAAGCGUGGGUAGCAAACAGG
rnacentral:rRNA from 2 species